rnacentral:misc_RNA from 1 species
GGAAUUUGGAGGGCCUAUCGUAACCGAAAUGAUAAGGUUGUCAGUGAAAUCGACUCGCUCAGAGACAAUCCUCAAUCGAGCAUCAGGAGACAAUGGAGCAGCCGACGAAUAGCGUUCUGGUUUUCUUGAUUCCACCCAUUUGAAGGCAAAAUUAGCAGAAGACAAUUCCACCGGAUAAGUAUAAGAAUAAGCAUUUAUUUCAUCGACCAUUGUGGCAGUUUUCAACUCUUC